CCAGGUAGGACAGGCUGCAGGGCUGGGGCCAUCUCCGAGACCCCCGGGGCUUUGCUGCAGAGAGUCUCCUUCUGUAGGUCUCUCCUUGAGGACUGAGAGAGGAUUCUGGGUCAGGCCUGUGAUCACGAGGAGGAGCCUCCUUGGGGUUUUCCCCUUUCCCACGGCUAAUUGAGCGAGAAGACAGACGUCCCUGUGGAGCAGAUUUAGCCCCUCCAUCUCCAACGAGAAACCUUCUCAUGUAGCCGCAGAAACAGCAGGGAAGACCAGGCUCCCCUGCCCGGACGCUGCUGGAGGAAAACACACAAACGUCAGAACGGUUCUUUUUUUCAGGAUGGAAAAUCUUCAGCAUCUUGUCAGGUCUCCCCUGUGCCCCGAGAGACCCCACAAAGGUGCUCAGCCCCCCAGUUAUUCUCCCCUCUUCGGAUCAGCUUCAGGAAUGGCCAGUUUAAAAAUUACUGGACAUGAGUCAGCAUCUGUUUGCCAUUUUCUCUCAUUCUCGCAGUUGGAAAUAAAAUCACCUCAGGUUUUGUCA